rnacentral:rRNA from 1 species
ACGAACGCUGGCGGCGUGCCUAAUACAUGCAAGUAGCACGCUGAAGGCGGAGCUUGCUUCUCUGGAUGAGUUGCGAACGGGUGAGUAACGCGUAGGUAACCUGCCUGUAGCGGGGGAUAACUAUUGGAAACGAUAGCUAAUACCGCAUAAGAGUAGAUGUUGCAUGACAUUUGCUUAAAAGGUGCAAUUGCAUCACUACCAGAUGGACCUGCGUUGUAUUAGCUAGUUGGUGGGGUAACGGCUUACCAAGGCGACGAUACAUAGCCGACCUGAGAGGGUGAUCGGCCACACUGGGACUGAGACACGGCCCAGACUCCUACGGGAGGCAGCAGUAGGGAAUCUUCGGCAAUGGACGGAAGUCUGACCGAGCAACGCCGCGUGAGUGAAGAAGGUUUUCGGAUCGUAAAGCUCUGUUGUAAGAGAAGAACGAGUGUGAGAGUGGAAAGUUCACACUGUGACGGUAUCUUACCAGAAAGGGACGGCUAACUACGUG